GUCUCUGUAGCUUAGUCGGUAGAACACCCGACUAUGAUGCGGUAGAACUCGGGUUCGAUCCCAGGUAAAGGCA